rnacentral:rRNA from 1 species
GUAAGGAGUUUUCGGCAAUGGGGGGAACCCUGACCGAGCAACGCCGCGUGAGUGAUGACGGCCCUAUGGGUUGUAAAGCUCUGUUAUAAGGGACGAACAGCUUUGCUAGGAAAUGAGCAGAGUCUGACGGUACUUUAUCAGAAAGCCACGGCUAACUACGUGCCAGCAGCCGCGGUAAUACGUAGGUGGCAAGCGUUAUCCGGAAUUAUUGGGCGUAAAGAGUGAGCAGGCGGCAGAUUAAGUUUGAGGUUAAAGCGUGGGGCUCAACCCCAUAAAGCCUUGAAAACUGAUCAGCUAGAGUACGAGAGAUGUGAAGGGAACUCCAUGUGUAGCGGUGAAAUGCGUAGAUAUAUGGAAGAACACCAGUGGCGAAGGCGCUUCACAAGCUCGAAACUGACGCUCAGUCACGAAAGCGUGGGUAGCAAAACGGAUUAGAAACCCUUGUAGUCC